AUCCAGCUGACGAGUCCCGAAUAAAACGAAGUGGCGCACGUCCUGGAU
rfam:Schistosoma rodhaini strain Burundi genome assembly, scaffold: SROB_scaffold0000306